CCGGCGAUCUCGAAUUCGCCGGGCAUGGAGAUCAGACUGUCGCCAUUCAAAUAAAACUUCUCGCCCUGCGCCCGUCCGAUGGCAAGAAAGUGCGCCGAAUUGGCCAGCUCCUUGAUCAGUAUGCGACGCGCUCGUGCCGAUCUCCUUUAUGGGCUUGCAUUGAUCACCAGCACCGCCGCAGACACCGCAACGAUCGUCCUGCAUGUCCGAGUCAACGAUCCAAUCGCAACCAACUUUCUGAAUGAAACGCUCGUUUAAUUGAUCUCGCCGACCAGCUGUGGUCUAUAGACGGCUUGCCCGAACUUACCUUGCAGAUGCCAUCGAUGCACAUGUUGUUCGUGCCCAGCGUGCAGGGCGUCCCGUCGAGCACCGUUUCGCCCCAGUUGGCGAUUAUCGUGUCGUCCACAUCACUGCAGAACAGGCGACACGGAUUAUCUAAAAUGGAUUUUGCAUAGGGGUAUUGGAAUCAGCUAUUGCUAAGCAGUGAAAUUCAGGCUAGCUGCGGACUUACUCUUGUCGAAGAAGGGCAACCACUUGUAGGUGGCGCCCUGGUAGCUGACAUUGUCGUAGCGUGCACACUGCUGCGCCCGGAAGCUGGGCUCGUGAUCCGGACAGGGCUUCUUGCGGCAGAUCU